rnacentral:rRNA from 1 species
AACUCCGAAUGCCAUGACAUUGCAGCGGCAGUGAGGCUAUGGGUGCUAAGGUCCGUAGCCAAGAGGGAAACAACCCAGACCAUCAAUUAAGGUCCCAAAGUAUAUACUAAGUUGAAUGAACGAGGUGGGAAUGCUAAGACAGCUAGGAUGUUGGCUUGGAAGCAGCCAUUCAUUUAAAGAGUGCGUAACAGCUCACUAGUCGAGCGUUCCUGCGCGGAAAAUAAUCGGGCAUCAAGUAUAUCACCGAAAUUAUGGAUUGUACGUAAGUACAGUGGUAGGGGAGCAUUCUAAUUGCGUUGAAGUUGUACCGUGAGGUAUGGUGGAGCGGUUAGAAAAGAAAAUGUAGGCAUGAGUAACGAUAAAAUAGGUGAGAAACCUAUUCGCCGUAAGACUAAGGGUUCCUAGAUCUAUGCUAAUCAGAUCAGGGUUAGUCGGCACCUAAGGUGUACCCGAGAGGGGAAGCCGAUGGAAAACAGGUUAAUAUUCCUGUACUUGUUUAUACUGCGAUGGGGUGACGGAGAAGCGUAAGACCUGCCAUGUGACGGAAUACAUGGUUGAAGUGCGUAGGCGUUGAUUCAGUAGGUAAAUCCGCUGAUGAGCAGAAACACGAUAGUAUUUAAUCUUGCUUGCAAGAUUGAAAUAAUGGUCCCAAGCAUACUUCCAAGAAAAACCCCUAAGCUUCAGGUAUAAACAAGCCGUACCGUAAACCGACACAGGUAGUCGAGGAGAGUAUCCUAAGGCGCUCGAGUGAUUCAUGGCUAAGGAACUAGGCAAAAUGGUCUCGUAACUUCGGGAGAAGAGACGCUCUAAUUAAAUUUAGAGCCGCAGUGAAGAGGCCCAGGCGACUGUUUAGCAAAAACACAGGACUCUGCAAAAUCGUAAGAUGAAGUAUAGGGUCUGACACCUGCCCGGUGCUGGAAGGUUAAGGAAGGUUGUUAGUCUUCGGACAAAGCAAUUGACUGAAGCCCCAGUAAACGGCGGCCGUAACUAUAACGGUCCUAAGGUAGCGAAAUUCCUUGUCGGGUAAGUUCCGACCUGCACGAAUGGUGUAACGAUCUGGGCACUGUCUCAGCCAUGAGCUCGGUGAAAUUGAAGUAUCGGUGAAGAUGCCGGUUACCCGCAAUGGGACGAAAAGACCCCGUGAACCUUUACUACAGCUUCACAUUGGGUUUGAAUAUAAGAUGUGUAGGAUAGGUGGGAGACUAUGAAGCGUGUACGCCAGUGCAUGUGGAGUCGUCCUUGAAAUACCACCCUUCUUAUAUUUAGAUUCUAACUCCGUCGAAAACGGAGGACAUUGUGUGGUGGGUAGUUUGACUGGGGUGGUCGCCUCCUAAAGAGUAACGGAGGCUCGCAAAGGUACCCUCAGCAUGGUCGGUAAUCAUGCGCAGAGCGUAUUAGUACAAGGGUGCUUGACUGGGAGACUGACAGGUCGAUCAGGUAGGAAACUAGGCUAAAGUGAUCCGGUGGUUCCGUAUGGAAGGGCCAUCGCUCAAAGGAUAAAAGGUACUCCGGGGAUAACAGGCUGAUCUCCCCCAAGAGCUCAUAUCGACGGGGAGGUUUGGCACCUCGAUGUCGGCUCGUCACAUCCUGGGGCUGGAGAAGGUCCCAAGGGUUGGGCUGUUCGCCCAUUAAAGUGGCACGCGAGCUGGGUUCAGAACGUCGCAAGACAGUUCGGUCUCUAUCUAUUGUGGGCGUUGGAAUAUUGAAGAGCUCUGACACUAGUACGAGAGGACCGUGUUGGACGAACCUCUAGUGUACCUGUUGUGACGCCAGUUGCAUCGCAGGGUAGCUAUGUUCGGAAUGGAUAAGCACUGAAAGCAUCUAAGUGCGAAGCCAUCUCUAAGAUGAGUAUUCCAUGGAAGUAAUUCCUGAAGGGUCGUAGAAGAUUACUACGUUGAUAGGCUAUAGGUGGAAGUGCAGUGAUGUAUGGAGCCAAGUAGUACUAAUUACCCGACAGCUUCCUUUUU